AGAGUUUGAUCCUGGCUCAGAGCGAACGCUGGCGGCAUGCUUAACACAUGCAAGUCGCACGGGCACUUCGGUGUCAGUGGCGGACGGGUGAGUAACGCGUAGGUAUCUAUCCUUGGGUGGGGGAUAACUGUGGGAAACUACAGCUAAUACCGCAUAAUAACUGAGGUUUAAAGGCGCAAGUCGCCUGGGGAGGAGCCUGC
rnacentral:rRNA from 1 species